rnacentral:rRNA from 1 species
GACGAACGCUGGCGGCGUGCUUAACACAUGCAAGUCGAACGAGGGAAUUGAAAGCUUGCUUUUGAAACCCGAGUGGCAAACGGGUGAGUAACGCGUAGGCAACCUGCCGUUGAGAUGGGGACAACAUCCCGAAAGGGGUGCUAAUACCGAAUGUUGUGGUGAAUCCGCAUGGAUUUGCUACUAAAGAUGACCUCUGUUUAUAAGUUAUCGCUCAACGAUGGGCCUGCGUCUGAUUAGCUAGUUGGUGGGGCAACGGCCUACCAAGGCGACGAUCAGUAGCCGGUCUGAGAGGAUGAACGGCCACAUUGGAACUGAGACACGGU